GGAGGUUACAGUGGACUAUAAGGUGGAGGUUACUGUGGACUAUAAGGAGGAGGUUACUGUGGACUAUAAGGUGGAGGUUACUGUGGACUAUAACGAGGAGGUUACAGUAGACUAUAAGAAGGAGGUUGCUGUGGACUUUAAGGUGGAGGUUACAGUAGACCAUAAGGAGGAGGUUACUGUGGACUAUA